UUGAAUUGAUUAUAGAUCUCAGAUUUGAGGAGAGAUUCGGAGAGAGAUCGAGAGCGAUAGAGAGAGAACGAGAUAGAUUUGGAAGAGAUUCGUUGGAUUAAAUCGUUUCUUCUCAGCUGCAAACCCUUAGUCUCUCAAUGAGUUUCUAUGCUGGGAUUCAUUUUUCAAUUUCAUUGAUGAACUCGGAAACAAUUCCUUCCUCUCUGGUAAAUAAAUUGAAGAGCAGUCAUGUCUGGUUCUUGUAUACGGUUUCUCUUCAAUCGAAGGUUUUGUUUUUUGAUGCAGUGAUGUUGAUUCAACGACGUUUGCUUGCACAGCAUUUUCAUGUCCUAAUUUACAACCGAUGGAGAUUCGUACAACAGAUAAGGCCAUUAAUAGAAUUACUAGGUAAAUAUCAACCGUAUAUAAUCAAUUUCCUUUUCUAUUUGGAAACUUGGAUUUUUCUUUAUUGUUUUGUUAGACCGGAUCUUAGGAUCUGUAUAUUUUACAGGAACUUUUAUGUAUGUCCAUGUUAUUAGAUAGUUUAUGAUCGUAACAUUAAUUUUGGUUGGGAGUUUGAUUGCUUAGUCUAAUUUAACGUCGAUUUGUUUGUCUGUGGUUCAUAGUUCAUACCACUAGUUUCCUUUAGUGGGUUUCCAUUGUAUCUACUAUUAUGUAUCGUCCGGAAAGCAUAUUUUUACAGACAAAGAGGAGAAAGAGGGAGAGGGAGAGAGGGGGGAAAAGUUGGGUGCUUGCUUUGGUUUGCUUUGCUUGCACUAUCAGGAAUCAAGCUUACGCCAUAUAGAAGGCAAUGAUUCAGAGUGUAUUAGAGAGAAUUUAAGACCCCACCAUGCACCUUAUACAUCCACGCAAGGCAGCAGAGAGAAAACGACUUGAAAAAGAAAUACAGUAUAGAUAGAGUCUAUAAACCAUUAAUCAAUGUAUGCUUAGAUACUCUUUGAAAACUCCAGUUAAUUAAAUGUAGUUGUGUAACUGCAAAUCCUAGUCCCACUGCAAAAAUUUAUACCUUGUGGCUUCCUUUUAAGAGUAGUAAUUCACUUUUAAUUGUGCUGAUCAUUUGUUUAACUUACUUAUACACCCAUGAUAUUAAUAAAAUUUGUUUAGCUUGUUUCUGCGAUGACAUAUUAAUGAAAAGCUGCUCAGGUAUGUUCGCUCUUUCUAAACCAAGAUUGAAUUUCAUUUUUACUAUCCUCUCAUACGUAGUCACGAAGUUGCGUAGAUAUCUAAUUUGGAACUUAAAUGUUGUAUGAGUUACCAUUAUAAUGUAAACCCAUUCCAUUUAUGCCUCUUAAUAUGAAAACCUACAAGCACUUUACUUACCGUAUGUUUGUUGUCGUCCAUUUUUCUGUCGGUUGAGUUUCUACAUUAUUAUACUCGAGGUAGCUCAAACACUUACCUCUACACUCUGUAUGAAAGAAGCAAGAAAUUAACCGAAGAAUACCCAAUGAUUUAAACAGACUGCACUUUCUAAUAUAUAGAGUACGCACACAUAAGAAUUAACUGUAUUGUGAGAUGAUGAUGGGAUCAUCCAUAUAAAAAUUCAGGACUUAGGUCAUCUCUAAACAAGUAAACUUUAUGUAGAAUCUUAUUGUGAUGUUUUUCAAGUCCGUAGGUGUCACUUUCAAAGAGGUAUUUAUCAAAACUGUGUAACCAACAUAUAUGCAUGGAAAUUGGAAUUUUCACCCAUAUUUGAGAAAUCAUAUUUGUUAAUGAUUAGCUUGAUAGCGAUACCCAGAGAUGGUAAGGUUACAUGUAAAGGAAUGCAUUUGAUUUAUGAGAAUGAGUACACCUAAAGGACGACAAAUCAUUCUGCAGUAGUGUGUUUGUGUCAUCUGCACUCUUUAAAUAGUUUUGCAACGACUUAUUUGAGAACUCUCAUAUUGUUGUGUUGUCCAUAAGUUUGUAUCGACUUACUUCCUGAAUUGGUUUGAGUAUUGGAAGGCCAGAUAAAAAUGAUCGGUUGGUAAUCUUGUUUCUUUGCAGUGUGGGCAUAAUGAAUGGAAUAAUUAUGUACUCAUCAAUUCUGAUAAGAGGAUUCAGAAAACAUGGAAUAUAAGGAGUUAAUGUUGAUUGUUAAUGUGUACAUAAUUAUACACAUGUUUUUUCUUAAUGUGUACAUUAUUGUACACAUGUUGAUUGUUAAUGUGCACAUAGUUGUACACCUAGUUAACGUGCAGAUAAUUAUACACCUAUUGUUUGUUAAAAUGUUAUUGUUUCAGGUUCUUAAAUUUUGUAUGAUCUGUUUUUCAGGGAGCUAGCUGUAAACUGAGAAAGAUAAUCUUAGGUUUGUUUAAAUGGUUAUUUGUGAGUCAAAUUUACUCUUUCGACUUGACUAGGAAUGAGUUCAGUCACGAAACCAAGUCUACCAUUGUUGCUGAGUUGGCUACUAGGAGUUUGAAUGUUGAAGUUAAAGUCAUCAAAACUCAGAUUCAGGGCACUUCUGUCAAUAAAAUAAUAGAAUUGAAGUAGCAUAUCAAGAAGUUCUUACUUUGAAGAGGCAAGAGGAGCUCAUUCGAUUCGUGAGGAAGAUGAGAUUUGGCAAGCUGAGAGUGAGCAAAAAGUAAAUGGUGAAUCUGCUGACAAGGAAAAGCGCCGAAAGAAAAACAGGGACCUGCCACUGUUGAGAAAUGUUGUGGUUUUCAAAGCAAUUGUUUGAUGCUUGUCAUGUAAGGCGAACGUGCCAAAGAAUUGGUGAGCUUCCACGUCUAUCCUGACAUGAAUGUUUUACCACACUGACAAAGAGAGAUUUCUCCAAUUCAAUCUCUGAUUGGACAGACGGGGAGGAGAUGGAUUAUGGGUGUAAUCUCUCAAUUAGAAGAUGGUCAUUUUAACUUGGAAGAUAUGACUGCAACUGUACCAGUUGACUUAGCUCAUUCAAUAUCCUAGAAAAGUUCAAUGCUUUUUAAUAAGUUGUCAUCAUGAAACCAGCUUUAUACUUCUGUAUGUGGUGUACAAACUGGUGCACUUUGUCUUGUGUUUGGAUUUUAUGGAUCUUUGUAGAAUGUAAACUAAGAUUUUUAAAAAAUAAAAAUUAUAUAGGCAUAUGGGUA